AUGAAACUUUUGAUUCUUUUUACGAUUUUUGGCCACAAGGCACCUACGCGUCGCAGGAUCCGCUGCGGCUCGGUCACCCCUCCCUUCUUCUUCGUCACAGGCCCGUCCCUCGUCCUCCCGGGGUCCGGCGCGACCCCAGCUCCCUGUACCUCCCCGUCAGGCGUCCUCCCGGGGUCAGGCGCGACCCCAGCCCCAUGUACCUCCCCGUCCCGCAUCCUCCCGGGGUCAGGCGCGACCCCAGCCCCAUGUACCUCCCCGUCCCGCAUCCUCCCGGGGUCAGGCGCGACCCCAGCUCCCUGUACCUCCCCGUCAGGCGUUCUCCCGGGGUCAGGCGCGACCCCAGCCCCAUGUACCUCCCCGUCCCGCAUCCUCCCGGGGUCAGGCGCGACCCCAGCUCCCUGUACCUCCCCGUCAGGCGUCCUCCCGGGGUCAGGCGCGACCCCAGCCCCAUGUACCUCCCCGUCCCGCAUCCUCCCGGGGUCAGGCGCGACCCCAGCCCCCUGUACCUCCCCGUCAGGCGUUCUCCCGGGGUCAGGCGCGACCCCAGCCCCAUGUACCUCCUCGUCCCGAAUCCUCCCGGGGUCAGGCGCGACCCCAGCUCCCUGUACCUCCCCGUCAGGCGUUCUCCCGGGGUCAGGCGCGACCCCAGCCCCAUGUACCUCCCCGUCCCGCAUCCUCCCGGGGUCAGGCGCGACCCCAGCUCCCUGUACCUCCCCGUCAGGCGUCCUCCCGGGGUCAGGCGCGACCCCAGCCCCAUGUACCUCCCCGUCCCGCAUCCUCCCGGGGUCAGGCGCGACCCCAGCUCCCUGUACCUCCCCGUCAGGCGUUCUCCCGGGGUCAGGCGCGACCCCAGCCCCAUGUACCUCCCCGUCCCGCAUCCUCCCGGGGUCAGGCGCGACCCCAGCUCCCUGUACCUCCCCGUCAGGCGUCCUGCCGGGGUCCGGCGCGACCCCAGCCCCAUGUACCUCCCCGUCCCGCGUCCUCCCGGGGUCAGGCGCGACCCCGGCCCCCUGUACCUCCCCGUCCCGCGUCCUCCCGGGGUCAGGCGCGACCCCGGCCCCCUGUACCUCCCGGUUCUCAGAGUAA
rnacentral:lncRNA from 1 species